UCAAUCGCUGCCGCUGCUGCUUCUUUCUCUACUGCUUCUCUUUCUUCUUAAAAAAAAACACGAAGAUUCAUCAACAAAAUCCAUGAAAAACAUCAAAUCUUCUCUACUCUCUUCAUCAACACCAACUAAAAAUGAAGAUUCAUCAAAAAUUAUGUCAACAACAUCUUUCCUUGAUGAUUUGUUCUGAAUCGACGAAGAAAUGUGAAUUCUAGGGAUUUAUCAAAUGGGAAUUUCAGGGAUUUAUCUUUAAUCUUGAAGAAGUUGUUGUUACGAUUGUACUCUGUUACUCAUAGUAUUCUGUUGAAUGUAGUAUGAAUUUCAUUAUUUUAUUUUUUUGAUUGGUUUCAUCUGGUAAUUAGGGUUUUCAACUGCUCAAAUUUUUUAGAACCUCAAAUUUUAUUACUUGUUUAGAAAUUUGGGAAUUUCUUAGUCAGUUUCAUAUUGUUUUUAGUUUCGAAAAUAACCCACCGUUUAGAAAUUAUCAUAUAACAUUGUUCCAGUAGUAAUUUCAGCAAAAAGAAAAGAAAAUAAUUAUGAGCUCAAACUAUUUGUUAAAUUGUUUUAAUGGAGCUGUAAUACUUCAAUUUGAGUUCCCAUAACUAAUUCUUGCUUUAGGGGUUGAACCGUUGAUUUGUUCAGUGUGGGUGUUGAUGAGAUUGGUUUUUUCUUUAGUGUGUGUAGAAAAUGGGGGAUAAAGAGAAUGGAGAUGAGGACUUGCCCAUUGUUACUUAUAUUUGUGCAGUUAUAGAAGAGUUGAAGGAGAUAUGUUGAGGAAAUGAAUAUAAAUGAUGCGUCUGGGAACGACCAAAAAGACCGGUUAGUAGAGGAUAAUUCUGGCAGUCAUGAUCAACAGUCUUUGUUCGACACAAUUGAAGACAUGUUAUAUCAUUUACAAGUUAUUAUCUAUUAAUGCCAAAGGGGAAAAUGGGUAACAGUCUUCAAUGUAUGUUCAGUUGAAAAGAGAACAAAAAAGCAACAGUUGCUGCUGUUGGAGGUGGUUUUGAUUUGCCAAUGGUUUGUGAUUCUGCUUGCGAUAUAUUAUGUGUUCGCUGUGGAUUAAGGGAUGAAAAUAUGUGGCUGGUGUUGUUGGUGGAUGACCUGCUCUUUUAAGUCAAUUUACAGAGGCACAACAGGGAUUGUGCAUUAUACAAACUAUGAUGACAUGAAGUAUGUUUUAAGUACAUGAUCAAAUGCUUAUAGCUCUAAGCCAUUAGCAGAAAUGUCAGAUGAAGACCUUAUGUAAGCUUUUUGAGACUGAUGUUUCGUAACUAAGCAUGCGAUGUGUCAUAUAAGACGAGACAAUUUCCUUUUGCAGUGAAGUCAUAGCGAUGAAUACUCUUGGUUUAUUGAUAUAUUGUAGAGAGGCAAUGAAGUUGAUGCUCAAUCAGCCUCGAGAGGUCAUAUGUUUAACAUUGAUGGAGCUGGUUCAGAUGGAAUGCCAACUCCAAGCUGGGGAUGGUUACAACUGAUCUUCGUAUGUCUGGGGCCAUGAUGAAGCAGGUCGAAUACAGAACUUUCUCCACUUGAUCUGAUGCAGGGGCAUGAUCUUUCUCAGAGGAUCUUAAUCUUGAGACUGGCCCAUAUCCUUAAUUGCAUGCUAAGUUUUUCAUUAACAUCAUGGAAGAACCAGCUGAAGUGGUUACAGAAUAUCUUGUUAUGAAGCCCACUUACGUUCGUUUCCUCACUGGGUUGAAAGCAUAUUCCCAGAUAUCUCAGUUGGAUGUUGGAGAUGGCGAAGAAGCAAGUCUUGAAAGGUACCCAAGGAGCACACUUUAACAUCAAUGCAUCGAUUAUCUUGGACCAGGAGAGUUUAAUGCUAAUGGGAUGCCUCUAGUUCUUUGUUGGCUUCUUGCUUCGACGAUGGAAUGUUGCAGUAGAAGCUGCAGUUGAAAUUGUUGAAUGGCUACAAUCAAUAAUCGUCAAUGGAAGUUAGAUAUUGAAUCAGUUUGUCGAACAACAUAAGACGAUGCUUGUCCUACCAGUGAUGAGAAGCAGUCUGUUAAGUUCCGGCUUUGCCUUCGAUGCGCUUGGUCUUAAAAAAUGGAUUCAGGUUAACUUCUUCGGGUUAUGAUAAACUAGGUCCACUAUCCAUGUAUAAAUCUCAAGAUAGAACAUUGUAUGUCUCUAACUGUGAUACUUAAAGUUCACAUUGAGAUUUUUUUAUAUAUAUAUAUAAAAUUCUUUGAUAAA